GAGUGAACGCGCGCGCAAAUGAGUCCGUGAAUAUCUCGGAGAUCGAUCGCCGGUGAGAUGAUCGGUUCGCAAUAGUCGUGAUCGGCGUUAGCUCGCUCGCUCGCUCGCUCGCUUGCGUGCGCGCACGCGCGCGCGCGUCUAUUCGCGGUUUUUUAUUAUCACGUCUGAUAGUUGUGACAAGAGAAAGAAGAAAUGUGUUGAGCUUGUUGUCUAAGUGACGGUAGAUAGAUGUGAAGGAUAGUAUUGAAGGAAGGAGGAGAAAGAAAAAGAAUAUAAUAAUUAUAGUCGAUAGAAUUACAGAGUGAUAGAGGAAUAGAAAUAGAUAGAGGAAAAACAACAGAGAUAAAGCAACGGGAAUAAGAAGAGGAAGAGAAAGAAGAAAGAGCAAAUAGCGAUGACGAGGGAUCCGCCGGCGUGGAGGACGGCACGCGGUUGCCGGCGCUGAGGACGUCGGCACGGAGGACGUCCGAGCGAGGGCCGACGCCGGAUGAGGAGGGAUCGCGGCGAUAGGACUCGAUCGCUCAUCGGCCAGGCGAUAUGAGUUCGAAAUUCAUAAUCGAUAGUAUGCUACCAAAGUAUCAUCAGCAGUUCCAUCACCAACAACUGUUCACGAGCACGAAUCCCGGUACGAUACAGGCCUGUACCGCUGCGAGCAGUCCGGCGAGCGCGGCUGCGAGCUUAGAAUCAAGCCUAUCCGCGGCUGCGGUCGCGGCCGCGGCAGUAAAUUACGCACAGCAGCACAAUUCGCCGAGUCCGACGGGCUCAAGCCCUCAACACUCGGGUAGUUCGGCCUCGACCUCGCCGGCGGCCCGCACCGCAUCAAGCAUGUAUCCUUACGUUUCGGCCGCGGCCGCGCAUCAUCAUCAUCAGCAACAACAAGCGGUCGCGGCGGCCGCGUUCGGUGCGACCUCCAGCAUGGUUCCUGGAUUCGGUUCGAGCGCGGCCGCAGCCUCCAGCGCUGCCCUUGCCGCGGCAGCGGCCGUCGACGCUGCGACAGCCGGUGACAAAUCUUGCCGAUACACCGCCAGCCUUGCUGGAAAUGUCGCACCAACUUCGGCCGACCCUAUGGUCAACUAUACCCUCGGCCAUCAUCAUCAAAACGGUGCUACCCCUGGUAGCCUCGUCUCUUCCGCCUCGGCUUCCUCCGCCGUAUCGGCCGCUUCCGCAUCUAUGGCCGCGGCGGCACAGUUCUAUCAUCAGGCCGCCGCGGCCUCGGCCGUCGUCGAUCCUCUUACCUCCUGCCAGCAGCCUACCACUGGUCAACCUGGUAUUUCGGACAUUCCUCGCUACCCUUGGAUGUCCAUUACAGAUUGGAUGAGCCCCUUUGACAGAGUCGUAUGCGACGAUCGUAAUUAUUAUUUUCCAGGUCCAAACGGUUGUCCGAGGCGCCGUGGCAGGCAAACGUACACGCGAUUUCAAACGUUGGAGCUCGAGAAGGAGUUCCACUUCAACCAUUACCUAACGCGACGGCGGCGAAUAGAAAUCGCGCAUGCCCUCUGUCUGACGGAAAGGCAGAUUAAAAUCUGGUUUCAGAAUCGCCGUAUGAAGCUGAAAAAGGAACUUAGGGCGGUAAAGGAGAUCAACGAGCAGGCGAGACGAGAACGAGAGGAGCAAGACAUGAUGAAGAAGCAGCAGGCAGAGAAACAGGCGAAGAUGCAGCAGGAGCAACAAAAUGCCGCUCUACAGCAUCAACAGCAACAUCAUGUAAGCGGUCUGGACAAGUCGCAGAGCGAUCUACUCAAGGCGGUUAGUAAGGUGCCAACAUAGGAGACCUUGCUGAACCGACUCUCUUUCUUUUAAAGGAAGAAACUAGAGACUGAAGCGACCUGGACGGAUACGCCUACGAAAACGAGCGGACGGCUGGUAAGCGGACGGCUUCUUCCUCGCCUUUCUCCUCACCCUCCAUUAUAACUACCUUCUAUUCCUCAAACUUCUUCAUCGCUUCGUUAAGAGGAAGGAACAAUGAAGGAAGGAAAGAAGGAAGCUUGGCUAUGGAUCCUGUGGACAUCGAGAGCGUAGAACGAAGAAGAAGAUAGGAUUCGCCUCGUCGAAUAUAUCCAACCUCCUCUCCCCGUCCCCCUCCCCCAACCCCACCCCACCUUUUAUUCCUUUUUUUCCUAUCUACAUUCUUAUUAUUCCUUUCCUCAUAUCCCAUCAAUCCAUAACCCAUAGAUCCAACGAGGAAAGGCAGCGAGGUAGACGUUACGCUAACAUAGUAGAAAUAUCGAAAAACGCAUCGAAGUCUCGAUUCACAUGUACUUACUUACUUACUCGAUGACCGGCCACCAAGCUUCCCUUCGCAAAGAAGGAGAAUGGCGAUCGGGAUAUAGGCUGGUCACUGACUGAUUCCUAGAACGUAUAACGUGUAUUUGUUAAAUCGGCGAGCGUGAUCGACGGAUAUAAAGGAUGACGGCCUUCCUCAAGAGGACGAAAAUAUGUAAUGGCUCCCAAACAAAGCCGAUACUCGGCGAGACGCGAAAGAGAAAGUGGCGGGGGUUGG